rnacentral:rRNA from 1 species
UACGGAGGGUGCAAGCGUUAUCCGGAUUUAUUGGGUUUAAAGGGUCCGUAGGCGGACUCGUAAGUCAGUGGUGAAAUCUCAUAGCUUAACUAUGAAACUGCCAUUGAUACUGCGGGUCUUGAGUAAGGUAGAGGUAGCUGGAAUAAGUAGUGUAGCGGUGAAUGCAUAGAUAAUUACUUAGAACACCAAUUGCGAAGGCAGGUUACCAUGUCUUAACUGACGCUGAUGGACGAAAGCGUGGGAGCGAACAGG